CGAAGCAUAGCUAAACCAGUUAAGUAUCUCCUUUACGCGGAGCCGAUGUUUGUGCAAUUCAAACUGCCUCGA
rnacentral:tRNA from 1 species